rnacentral:rRNA from 1 species
UAUUGCCAUACCAUCCUGAACAUGCUUGAUCUUGGAAGCUAAGCAGGGUUGAGCCUGGCUAGUACUUGGAUGGAAGAUUAGUAAAGACAUAUCUAAAACUGGGUCAGCAAAGC